rnacentral:rRNA from 1 species
CCUACGGGGGGCUGCAGUGGGGAAUAUUGCACAAUGGGGGAAACCCUGAUGCAGCGACGCCGCGUGAGUGAAGAAGUAAUUCGUUAUGUAAAGCUCUAUCAGCAGGGAAGAAAAUGACGGUACCUGAGUAAGAAGCCCCGGCUAACUACGUGCCAGCAGCCGCGGUAAUACGGAGGGGGCAAGCGUUAUCCGGAUUUACUGGGUGUAAAGAGAGCGUAGACGGCAGUGCAAGUCUGGAGUGAAAGGCGGGGGCGCAACCCCCGGACUGCUCUGGAAACUGUACGGCUGGAGUGCAGGAGAGGUAAGUGGAAUUCCUAGUGUAGCGGUGAAAUGCGUAGAUAGUAGGAGGAACACCAGUGGCGAAGGCGGCUUACUGGACUGUAACUGACGUUGAGGCUCGAAAGCGUGGGGAGCAAACAGGAUUAGAUACCCUAGUAGUC